UACGAAGGGGGCUAGCGUUGUUCGGAAUUACUGGGCGUAAAGCGCACGUAGGCGGAUACUUAAGUCAGGGGUGAAAUCCUGGAGCUCAACUCCAGAACUGCCUUUGAUACUGAGAAGCUUGAGUUCGGGAGGGGUGAGUGGAACUGCGAGUGUAGAGGUGAAAUUCGUAGAUAUUCGCAAGAACACCAGUGGCGAAGGCGGCUCACUGGCCCGAUACUGACGCUGAGGUGCGAAAGCGUGGGGAGCAAACAGG
rnacentral:rRNA from 1 species